rnacentral:lncRNA from 1 species
GCUAAGGUGGUCACUGUGUUCUGUCCGCUGUCGGUCCUACUCUGCGAGACGUCGCUCCAGGACCGUACUUCAGCCAGUUUUCCUCCAACACCGAUAACUAGGAAAAUACGAAGGAAGCCUAGUGCCAAGGAUCAUGAUCUGGGCCCAGGGCAUGCAGCAUUCACUCUGGCUUUGAGAAUAUUAGAAUCACUGAAUCUGAAGCUGUUUGCUCUGGACACACAGAACAUGAAGGAUUUAUUUACCAGACGUAUUUUUAAUUCAAAUGAGUAUGACUAUUACUAAAGCUGAAGAGAAAUAGCUCUAGUCUAUGCUUCUCUCCACCCACUUCCCAUGUAUGUAGGCCCUUCAGAUGUUUAAAAAUAUAAUUGAUACAGGAAAGGAAAAUAAAUCAUAAAGGUAGAGUUUGAUGAAUU